GGGUUUCGUGGACCAUCUUAUUAGAAGGGCACGGUAACCUUAUUAUAUUCAUACCUCAGUAUGAGAGGCGCAGUUGGAUAACUCUUGAGGUUAAAACUUUAGAGUUCACUUCACGCCAAAGCACCACGUGAGGGUGAACUCAGCCAACGCCAAGGUACGACUAUGCUUUCAAAAUAAAAACAUGAUUUAUGAGUACAUAACUUUUUAACAGCCUUGGCGAUCUCGGUUGGGAUAGCUUUCAGCCAAGGUGUCCUUGAUAACUGAGUAUGAGAAUGAUUUUGACACGAGCCAAAGUUUUAAGAAAUUUAUAAGCCAUGUUGAUUACUCGAUUUAUAUGAAUUGGUUUUAUUUGGUUGAAAUGAGUUGAAAGGUGAUGAAUUACAAUAUGUUAAACUAUUUUAUCUGUCUCCAUUUACUCAGCUUUAGAUAUUUUAGAUGGUAUUUGUUUACUCAUUGGGAUUAUAUAAUAUCCCCACCCUCCUUUCCACCCAUUUCAGGCUCAGGAUAGUCGAUAGAUAGCUCAUUUCAUUGAAGGCUACAGUUGGACUUGCAUCCUCAAAAAAAAAAACUGUAGGUUUACCUCUUUUGAUACUUUUGGUCGUUUAUGGGCCCACUUGUCACUGUAAAUUAAAUUUUAUACUUUGGUUAUCUAUAUUACAGUAUGUAUAAAUUUAUUUAGCUUUUACGCUACAAAAAUUAUUUACCGAA
rnacentral:lncRNA from 1 species